GACGAACGCUGGCGGCGUGCUUAACACAUGCAAGUCGAACGGAAAGGCCCUGCUUUUGUGGGGUGCUCGAGUGGCGAACGGGUGAGUAACACGUGAGUAACCUGCCCUUGACUUUGGGAUAACUUCAGGAAACUGGGGCUAAUACCGGAUAGGAGCUCCUGCUGCAUGGUGGGGGUUGGAAAGUUUCGGCGGUUGGGGAUGGACUCGCGGCUUAUCAGCUUGUUGGUGGGGUAGUGGCUUACCAAGGCUUUGACGGGUAGCCGGCCUGAGAGGGUGACCGGCCACAUUGGGACUGAGAUACGGCCCAGACUCCUACGGGAGGCAGCAGUGGGGAAUAUUGCACAAUGGGCGGAAGCCUGAUGCAGCAACGCCGCGUGCGGGAUGACGGCCUUCGGGUUGUAAACCGCUUUCGCCUGUGACGAAGCGUGAGUGACGGUAAUGGGUAAAGAAGCACCGGCUAACUACGUGCCAGCAGCCGCGGUGAUACGUAGGGUGCGAGCGUUGUCCGGAUUUAUUGGGCGUAAAGGGCUCGUAGGUGGUUGAUUGCGUCGGAAGUGUAAUCUUGGGGCUUAACCCUGAGCGUGCUUUCGAUACGGGUUGACUUGAGGAAGGUAGGGGAGAAUGGAAUUCCUGGUGGAGCGGUGGAAUGCGCAGAUAUCAGGAGGAACACCAGUGGCGAAGGCGGUUCUCUGGGCCUUUCCUGACGCUGAGGAGCGAAAGCGUGGGGAGCGAACAGGCUUAGAUACCCUGGUAGUCCACGCUGUAAACGGUGGGUACUAGGUGUGGGGUCCAUUCCACGGGUUCCGUGCCGUAGCUAACGCUUUAAGUACCCCGCCUGGGGAGUACGGCCGCAAGGCUAAAACUCAAAGGAAUUGACGGGGCCCCGCACAAGCGGCGGAGCAUGCGGAUUAAUUCGAUGCAACGCGUAGAACCUUACCUGGGUUUGACAUGGAUCGGGAGCGCUCAGAGAUGGGUGUGCCUCUUUUGGGGUCGGUUCACAGGUGGUGCAUGGCUGUCGUCAGCUCGUGUCGUGAGAUGUUGGGUUAAGUCCCGCAACGAACGCAACCCCUGUUCACUGUUGCCAGCACGUUAUGGUGGGGACUCAGUGGAGACCGCCGGGGUCAACUCGGAGGAAGGUGGGGAUGACGUCAAGUCAUCAUGCCCCUUAUGUCCAGGGCUUCACGCAUGCUACAAUGGCUGGUACAGAGAGUGGCGAGCCUGUGAGGGUGAGCGAAUCUCGGAAAGCCGGUCUCAGUUCGGAUUGGGGUCUGCAACUCGACCUCAUGAAGUCGGAGUCGCUAGUAAUCGCAGAUCAGCAACGCUGCGGUGAAUACGUUCCCGGGGCU
rnacentral:rRNA from 1 species